UUGAACGCUGGCGGCAGGCCUAACCCCUGCCAGUCGAGCGGAUGAAGGGAGCUUGCUCCUGGAUUCAGCGGCGGACGGGUGAGUAAUGCCUAGGAAUCUGCCUGGUAGUGGGGGAUAACGUCCGGAAACGGGCGCUAAUACCGCAUACGUCCUGAGGGAGAAAGUGGGGGAUCUUCGGACCUCACGCUAUCAGAUGAGCCUAGGUCGGAUUAGCUAGUUGGUGGGGUAAAGGCCUACCAAGGCGACGAUCCGUAACUGGUCUGAGAGGAUGAUCAGUCACACUGGAACUGAGACACGGUCCAGACUCCUACGGGAGGCAGCAGUGGGGAAUAUUGGACAAUGGGCGAAAGCCUGAUCCAGCCAUGCCGCGUGUGUGAAGAAGGUCUUCGGAUUGUAAAGCACUUUAAGUUGGGAGGAAGGGCAGUAAGUUAAUACCUUGCUGUUUUGACGUUACCAACAGAAUAAGCACCGGCUAACUUCGUG
rnacentral:rRNA from 1 species